GAUGAACGCUGGCGGCGUGCCUAAUACAUGCAAGUCGAGCGAACGGACGAGAAGCUUGCUUCUCUGAUGUUAGCGGGUGACGGGUGAGUAACACGUGGAUAACCUACCUAUAAGACUGGGAUAACUUCGGGAAACCGGAGCUAAUACCGGAUAAUAUUUUGAACCGCAUGGUUCAAAAGUGAAAGACGGUCUUGCUGUCACUUAUAGAUGGAUCCGCGCUGCAUUAGCUAGUUGGUAAGGUAACGGCUUACCAAGGCAACGAUGCAUAGCCGACCUGAGAGGGUGAUCGGCCACACUGGAACUGAGACACGGUCCAGACUCCUACGGGAGGCAGCAGUAGGGAAUCUUCCGCAAUGGGCGAAAGCCUGACGGAGCAACGCCGCGUGAGUGAUGAAGGUCUUCGGAUCGUAAAACUCUGUUAUUAGGGAAGAACAUAUGUGUAAGUAACUGUGCACAUCUUGACGGUACCUAAUCAGAAAGCCACGGCUAACUACGUG
rnacentral:rRNA from 1 species